AGGACAGACAAGUGGAUUGAGCUGAAAAGUGGAUAAGAGAUUUUAAAUCUGUAUAGGUGUUAACCUACAGGUGUAAUGCUUUGUUGCCAUUCUUUCGCCUUCUGUUUGUGCUGUUAAAACCAUGUUAUGCUUAUUAAUUUCACAAAGACAUAAUAGUCAUAAGAUUUCCUUUACAGACUCAGGUUUAGCUAGUAAUUUAACUUGUGAUGUGAAAUAAAGAUGUUAAAAGCAGCCUCCUACAGCAGAUCUGGGCCUCCCUCCAGCUGAGGUGCUGGUGCACAGCCUGAGGAUUAAGGGUUUCAUCCCAGGUUCAGGGAUGUGUCUGUCACUUUCCUGUGGACAGGUUCAACCAGAUGUGAAGCUGAGCAUGUAUCCCAGAGAUGUAGACACACAUGGACACAGAGUGGGUAAGGUGGGAAGUGACCCCACUGGUGUCAUCUGCUCCAACCUCCCUGCUCAGUGAGGGAAUGAAGGAGUACAUUUGAGCCAAGAAAAAAGAGGAUCUAGAGAAAGUUUCCAUGCAGGAAGGAAGGAAGGAAGACGUGCUGGUGAGCAGUUUCCUGUUCAACUUCCAUUCUAUUUUUAGAGAAGCCCUUAAUGCUGACCAUCUCAAAGGAAACAACUGAAAAGAUAGGAAAACCAACAACAUGGCAAUAAGAAGCUUUCUUCCUUUACAAGAAAGUUGAUGAAAAUAAUGCAUAAAUUUUCAUGACACAACUAAGAGACCAAGUUUAAGAAGACUUGCAAAGGGAAUGGAUCUUCAACAUCUUCUGCACUUCUUCCCAGCACAGCUCCUGCAAGAGCUCUCCAUUAGCUGCUCUCAUUUUCCUCUUUUCUUGCGUAUUGGUAACUUGUACUGAUCAGUUUCUUAGUGGUAUUGUCAGACUCAACAGGGUUAAUAGAAAAAUACACACACACAACACAAAACAACUCCAUUGCCAUCUCUCCUGUUCUCAUAUUUAGAAGGGAAGGGAACAGGAAUGAAAAUGCCAUAAUUAGUGCCUUGAUGCGUUCACUUAAUUUUUUGGCCAUAAUUUGGAUCUUGCAGUCACUGAAGUGUGCCCUCAAAUUAAAAUAUAAACAGGAAAUUGAAAUAUAUACUUGAAGGAUAUCUUCCUGAUGGACAUUUUUUUCUCAUUUGUGAGAGCAUUUGAAGGAUAAGGAAAAUUAGAAUGUUGUUAGUUUUGUACUAGAAUUUCCUAAGGAAUGGCCUAAGUAGGAAAGUGCUCUUUCCUACUUAGGAGGAGUUGUGUCCCUGUCUAUUCAAAGAAUUGGUUUCAGAAAUGAUCUUUCAAAGUUGUAGAUGACUGAAAUUUUUGGUGAAGUUUAUUCCUUGUUGUUAUUAAUAAAGUGUUAUUUACAACUCCCUGAAUAGGUGAGUACAAGAGAAGAAAAAGCCUUAAGGAGAGAUUCUGUGCACAUGUAAAGUAGUGUAUUUCUGUUGUCCUUAAUGAGAUUUGACUAAUUUACAACAGUUGAGGAGUUGUUACAUUAACAUUAACUGUCAAAUAUUACAUUUACAAGUUUAAUACAGGUCAUACUGCUUCAGAGUUAAAUUUUCUUCUUGUACACUGGCAUGUUUCCUAUGCUCUUUAAGAGAGAAGAAUUUAUGUUCUAGUUUCUAAUUUUUUCAAUUCCAGAGCAAAUCUUACUAUAGAUGUAUUUUUAGAAUAUUAUUGAGGCUGGGUGGCUAAAUUUAAUUACAUGAUCAUGUGCUAGGUCACUGUCUUUUUCCUGUAGGGUACUGGUAUCUUCUUAACUGAUUUGCACUAGCAGCUGUGAAGCUGCAUACAUUUUAAAAACUGAGCGUUUUGUAAGUUAAAUAUAAGUUAAAUUUUGUAAGUUAAAUGAGAGAAAGACAGAAAGCUGUUAACGCAUAAACAUUAAUUUGGCAGAUAUUUUUGUGUCUAGAGGGGCAAGAUGGGACGUUUUCAAUUGUUUUAAGGAUCGCUAUUUGCGUACUGUCUGUACUUUGGACAGUAGAAUGUUGCACAAGAGAUUUUUGAUGUACAUUGUGGAAGAAAAUGUAGAAGAAAAGCAAAUGGAUGUAUUUUUAAAAUGGACAGACAGAGAACGAAAAGAUAAUAAUGCUGAAUAAGGAUGUAGUCUUAUGUGUGCAUUUGAAAACAGAAAGAAAGGCUAGGAACUUUAUGUAAAUUCACAGAUUUAAAUUUCCUGCCACAUUUACAUCCUAAGCGAGCCUGGGGACACAACGCCAGCCUUAGCAUUGGAGCAGACCAUGAAAUGCUAAACUGAUUUUGUACUCGGAGGUUACCAGUGUUCUAAAGUUUACAGCAUUUUUUGUAAAUUGUUGUUUCUUGCCUGUGGCUUUCAAUCAUUGAAAUGGUUUGGAGAACAACUGAAUUAUAAUCUAGUUUUUAAAAUUUUAGUAAUAGAAUUAAAUUUAGAGUAUAUGCCCUGUGUUUA